AGUCGAACGGUGAAGGUGGAGCUUGCUCCACCGGAUCAGUGGCGAACGGGUGAGUAACACGUGAGCAAUCUGCCCCUGACUCUGGGAUAAGCGCUGGAAACGGCGUCUAAUACCGGAUACGAACUGCGAAGGCAUCUUCAGCAGUUGGAAAGAAUUUCGGUCAGGGAUGAGCUCGCGGCCUAUCAGCUUGUUGGUGAGGUAAUGGCUCACCAAGGCGUCGACGGGUAGCCGGCCUGAGAGGGUGACCGGCCACACUGGGACUGAGACACGGCCCAGACUCCUACGGGAGGCAGCAGUGGGGAAUAUUGCACAAUGGGCGCAAGCCUGAUGCAGCAACGCCGCGUGAGGGACGACGGCCUUCGGGUUGUAAACCUCUUUUAGCAGGGAAGAAGCGAAAGUGACGGUACCUGCAGAAAAAGCGCCAGCUAACUACGUGCCAGCAGCCGCGGUAAUACGUAGGGCGCAAGCGUUAUCCGGAAUUAUUGGGCGUAAAGAGCUCGUAGGCGGUUGUCCGUCUGCUGUGAAAUCCCGAGGCUCACCUCGGGUCUGCGUGGGUACGGGCAGACUAGAGUGCGGUGGGGAGAUUGGAAUUCCUGGUGUACGGUGGAAGCCAGAUUCAUGAGGAACCCGAUGCGAAUGCAACUCUGGGCGUACUGACCUAAGGACGAAGGGUGGGGAGAAACAGGCUUAAUACCCUGGUAGUCCACCCCGUAACGUUGGGACUAGUUGUGGGGUCCAUUCCACGGAUUCCGUGACGCACUUACGCAUUAGUUCCGCCCUGGGGAGUACGGCGCAAGGUAAAUAAUUU
rnacentral:rRNA from 1 species